rnacentral:piRNA from 1 species
CCCAACGUCAGGGCGCGAUGGAGUGAAGC